rnacentral:rRNA from 1 species
CUAAUACCCCAUAUGCCGAGAGGUGAAAUGAAUUUCGCCUGAGGAUGAGCCCGCGUCUGAUUAGCUAGUUGGUGAGGUAAGAGCUCACCAAGGCAUCGAUCAGUAGCUGGUCUGAGAGGAUGAUCAGCCACACUGGGACUGAGACACGGCCCAGACUCCUACGGGAGGCAGCAGUGGGGAAUUUUCCGCAAUGGGCGAAAGCCUGACGGAGCAACGCCGCGUGAGGGAUGAAGGCCUCUGGGCUGUAAACCUCUUUU